UCGCCUUCUUUUCCAUCGCUGAGCUCAGGCUGCGGUGGCGCUCCUCCUCUCCUCUUGCUGGACGCUCAACAGGGGAGCACAGUCCGCCGCUUCCAGUGCCAGCACCCAGGCGCCUGUAUUGUCCUUCACCAAGCCGGUCGCCGCCCUGUAGCAGCUCCAACAACGAGCCCCCUGCCCCAUCGUGUAUUCUAUGUGAGCAUGUGACGCCACCAGGAGCUGCCUAGAAGGAAGAUCAUAGGUUGCCGCCUGCACAUCGCACAGGAGGGCGACACCAGGACACUGUUUCAACAAAAGACAGAGCCAUCACACCUGGCAAAGGCGGUCAGCCUCCGAGUCCCAUGCCCGAGCCAUCUCCGCACCACAGGUGUACCAAUUAGGAGAUAAAUGUUGUUGUAAAUUUUUAUUUCACCUACUCAUGAUUAAAAUUACUGUAUAAAAAAGAUCUACUUCUGGUAAUAAAAUUAUUGUUACUUGUUUGCAUCGAACAA